AUUGAACGCUGGCGGCAGGCCUAACACAUGCAAGUCGAACGAGUGGCGGACGGGUGAGUAAUGUAUGGGAAACUGCCUGAUGGAGGGGGAUAACUACUGGAAACGGUAGCUAAUACCGCAUACUAUCAGAUGUGCCCAGAUGGGAUUAGCUAGUUGGUGGGGUAACGGCUCACCUAGGCGACGAUCCCUAGCUGGUCUGAGAGGAUGACCAGCCACACUGGGACGGGGACACGGCCCAGACUCCUACGGGAGGCAGCAGUGGGGAAUAUUGCACAAUGGGCGCAAGCCUGAUGCAGCCAUGCCGCGUGUAUGAAGAAGGCCUUCGGGUUGUAAAGUACUUUCAGCGGGGAGGCGUUACCCGCAGAAGAAGCACCGGCUAACUCCGUGCCAGCAGCCGCGGUAAUAC
rnacentral:rRNA from 1 species